rnacentral:rRNA from 1 species
UACGAAGGGUGCAAACGUUGCUCGGAAUCAUUGGGCGUAAAGCGCACGUAGGCGGCUUCGCAAGUCGGAUGUGAAAUCCCAUGGCUCAACCAUGGACGUGCAUUCGAAACUGCGAAGCUUGAGUAUGGAAGAGGGUCGCGGAAUUCCCGGUGUAGAGGUGAAAUUCGUAGAUAUCAGGAGGAACACCCGUGGCGAAGGCGGCUCUCUGGGUCGGACCUGACGCUGAGGCGCGAAAGCGUGGGGAGCGAACGGG